GAUGAACGCUGGCGGCGUGCUUAACACAUGCAAGUCGAACGGAAAGUCCACAGCUUGCUGUGGUACUCUAGUUGCGAACGGGUGAGUAACACUUGGGUUAUCUGCCCUUUACUUCGGGAUAAGCUUGUGAAACUGGGUCUAAUACCGGCUAGGAAUCACAUCUUGUUGUUUGGUUGGAAUGCUUUUGCGUUAUUGGAUGAGCUCGCGGCUUAUCAGCUUGUUGUUGGGGUAUUGUCUUACCAAGGCGUCGACGGGUAGCCGGCCUGAGAGGGUGUACGGCCAAAGUGGGACUGAGAUACGGCACAGACUCCUACGGGAGGGAGAAGUGGGGAAUAUAGCACAAUGGGAGCAAGCAUGAUGCAGCGAAGCCGCGUGGGGGAUGACGGCCAUCGGGUUGUAAAGUAAUUUCGUCAGGGACGAAGCGAAAGUGACGGUACCUGGAGAAGAAGCACCGGCUAACUACGUG
rnacentral:rRNA from 1 species